rnacentral:lncRNA from 1 species
CGAAUCAAGUGUGAACUGGAAUUUGUUAUGGCUUCUGGUAUCUGUUAACUAAUGGAAGAUAAUAAACCUAUAUGGACACAUUUAUUAUCUUCCACAUGAGGUAUUUUAAAAAUCCAUCUCUUACCUUUUGCUACAGACUAAACAAAAUGUUGUCGAUGAUACGGAUUUGCAUCGAUCAAACAAGCGUCCUGCUACAGAUAAGGUAUGCUUAUUUGUAUACUGUAUAGUAAAAGCUUGAUUGAGCAUUAAAUUAUUAUUUCCCAUUCAUUUUUGCAAUUUUUAUAUCUAUUAUAUUUCUUGCCUAUCUUACAGAACUUUCCUCAAACAAAGAAACUCUAUCUAUCUUCUUGUUAUUAGCAUGGUGGCCAGAACAAAAAGAUUUUGAAAGAGGAUAACGCGACAAAGCUUGCUAAUGUAGUAACAUAGACCUUCUAAAUCUUUUAUUCUAUGUUCUAGUUUGCAUAGGUUUUAAGUAUAUUGGAUAUACUAAUAUUGCACAUAAUGUCUUCCGCAGAAGCAACAAGGCAGUAGAAUGAAUUUGUUG